rnacentral:rRNA from 1 species
CCUACGGGGGGCAGCAGUGAGGAAUAUUGGUCAAUGGACGAGAGUCUGAACCAGCCAAGUAGCGUGAAGGAUGACUGCCCUAUGGGUUGUAAACUUCUUUUAUAUGGGAAUAAAAUGUUCCACGUGUGGGAUUUUGUAUGUACCAUAUGAAUAAGGAUCGGCUAACUCCGUGCCAGCAGCCGCGGUAAUACGGAGGAUCCGAGCGUUAUCCGGAUUUAUUGGGUUUAACGGGAGCGUAGGUGGAUUGUUAAGUCAGUUGUGAAAGUUUGCGGCUCAACCGUAGAAUUGCAGUUGAAACUGGCAGUCUUGAGGACAGUAGAGGUGAGCGGAAUUCGUGGUGUAGCGGUGAAAUGCUUAGAUAUCACGAAGAACUCCGAUUGCGAAGGCAGUUCACUGGACUGCAACUGACACUGAGGCUCGAAAGUGUGGGUAUCAAACAGGAUUAGAUACCCCUGUAGUC